AUGUUGUAUGCUAUGGAAUUUGAUGAAUGGGUGUCGGUGAACAACAGUGAGAUCUGGGACGUGCUUGCCUCAGGAGAAUCAACUCAUCAUGUUCAUGCAUCCUUGCUGCUAAGCUAUCACGUUAUGGAUAAAUACUUGAAGUUAUGCUUUGCUUAUUGUGCAACCUUUCCAAAAGGUCACAAGAUAGCUAAAGAAGAUCUAGCUCACCAAUGGAUUGCUCUUGGACUUGUUGAGCCGUCAAGGACAUUCUCUGAUAUACAAACCAGUCAUAAAUAUAUUCGUCAUCUUUUUGGCAUGUGCUUCCUUGAACAUCCAAGGUCACAAUGGACUUAUAUGGACGUCGAUAAUGGAUUCUUGAUCAUGCAUGACCUGGUGCACGAUCUCGCAAGAUCAUUUCUGGCUGAUAAAAUUAUUGUAGAGAGUCCUGCCUGCCAAUAUGCAUGGCUGACAGAUCAUAGAAAGCUAUUCAAGUCAUCAAUGAAUCCACUCACCAAGCUAUUUAUGUCAUCAAUGAAUCCACUUGCCAAGCUAUUUAAGUCAUCAGUGACUCCACUCGCCAAGAUAAGGGCACUGCAUUUUCUCGACCGUGCUUACUUGCAGCUUAAUGGUGAAGCUUUUUCACCGGCUAAAUGCCUCCUUGUCCUGGAUUUAAGCAGAUGUUGUGCACAAAAGCUGCCUGAUUCUAUGGGUCAACUGAGACAGUUGAGGUAUCUCGAUGUUUCAUGGAACCCCGAGUUUACUGAAUCUUCUGAAUACCAAGCAUCACCGGAGUCUAUAUUGAUACCGAAAGCCCUGGGUUCCCUUAAUGAACUCCAAUAUUUGAAUUUAUCAGGUCGCGGAAGACCCAUAGGGCUGCCAGAGGUCAUCAGCAAACUCACGGAACUCCGGUAUUUGAAUAUAUCUCAUUGCAAGGGUUAUUAUUUAUUGGACAUCCCAUCAGCAAACCAAAGUUUCAUUGACUGUAUCGGUACCCUUCCUAAUCUGGAGCAGCUGGACAUGUCUUUUAAUAACUAUGGUUUCUGUGUACCUGAAAGUUUCAGCAGGCUCAAGAAGCUGAACCUCUCCGGCUGCCAGUACAUUGCUAGCCUUCCAGAAAAUGUGGGGAAAGUGGAUAUUCCAAGGCUUUUUGGCUUGUUGUUCCCGCAAAAGGGAGGGUUUCCUGUGCGUGUGGUUGAUAGUGAAUCUAGCAGCAGUCUUGUCUGGCUUAAGCAUACAAAUCCUGAUGUUUUGGGGAUCGCCGAUCUUGAAAAUGUGAGGUCCGUGGAAGAGGCACGCAGUAUAAGGUUGAUGGAAAAACAGAGAAUUAAAGAAUUGUCAUUGCAGUGGAGCGGAGGUGUGAGUUCUGUGGAACACAUGGAGUUGCUAACAGAGCUAGUGCCACCAAGCUCUGUAAAGAAUUUCAAGAUAACACGUUACAAGGAUGUCAUGUUUCCGCACUGGUUUAUGCAUAUAAACAAAUAUCUUCCUAAUCUUGUGAGUUUGGAGAUGUGGGGUGUGCUUUGCCACAGCCUACCAACAACACUCGUCCCACUACCCAACCUACGAAAGAUUGUUCUCAGCAACAUGCAUAACCUGGAAGAGUUCAACACAGCAUGCUCUAUAGGCGAGGAUGGUGCAAAUGAGCUCACGUUGGCUAAACUUGAGUAUCUGGCGUAUAUCACGUGCUGA
rnacentral:rRNA from 1 species